rnacentral:rRNA from 1 species
AGUGAACGCUGGCGGUAGGCCUAACACAUGCAAGUCGAACGGCAGCACAGUAAGAGCUUGCUCUUACGGGUGGCGAGUGGCGGACGGGUGAGGAAUACAUCGGAAUCUACUUUUUCGUGGGGGAUAACGUAGGGAAACUUACGCUAAUACCGCAUACUACCUACGGGUGAAAGCAGGGGAUCUUCGGACCUUGCGCGAUUGAAUGAGCCGAUGUCGGAUUAGCUAGUUGGCUGGGUAAAGGCCCACCAAGGCGACGAUCCGUAGCUGGUCUGAGAGGAUGAUCAGCCACACUGGAACUGAGACACGGUCCAGACUCCUACGGGAGGCAGCAGUGGGGAAUAUUGGACAAUGGGCGCAAGCCUGAUCCAGCCAUACCGCGUGGGUGAAGAAGGCCUUCGGGUUGUAAAGCCCUUUUGUUGGGAAAGAAAAGCAGCAGGUUAAUACCCCGCUGUUCUGACGGUACCCAAAGAAUAAGCACCGGCUAACUUCGUG